rnacentral:rRNA from 1 species
GAUGAACGCUGGCGGCGUGCUUAACACAUGCAAGUCGAGCGAGAAACUACAUGCAGACACUUCGGUAGAAGCGAGUAGCGGAAAGCGGCGGACGGGUGAGUAACGCGUAGGCAACCUGCCCUUCACAGAGGUAUAGCCUCGGGAAACCGGGAUUAAAACCACAUAAAAUCAUAGGUUCGCAUGAACCAAAGGUCAAAGAUUUAUCGGUGAAGGAUGGGCCUGCGUCUGAUUAGCUGGUUGGUAGGGUAAAAGCCUACCAAGGCGACGAUCAGUAGCCGACCUGAGAGGGUGAUCGGCCACAUUGGAACUGAGACACGGUCCAAACUCCUACGGGAGGCAGCAGUGGGGGAUAUUGCACAAUGGGGGAAACCCUGAUGCAGCAACGCCGCGUGAGGUAUGAAGGCCUUUGGGUUGUAAGCCUCUGUCCUAGGGGAAGAAAAAAAUGACGGUACCCGAGGAGGAAGCCCCGGCUAACUACGUGCCAGCAGCCGCGGUAAUACGUAGGGGGCAAGCGUUAUCCGGAAUUAUUGGGCGUAAAGAGUGCGUAGGUGGUCUACUAAGCGCGAGGUGAAAGGCAAUGGCUCAACCAUUGUUAGCCUUGCGAACUGGCAGACUUGAGUGCAAGAGAGGAAAGCGGAAUUCCUAGUGUAGCGGUGAAAUGCGCAGAUAUUACGAGGAACACCGGCGGCGAAGGCGGCUUUCUGGAUUGUAACUGACACUGAGGCACGAAAGCGUGGGUAGCAAACAGG